rnacentral:tRNA from 1 species
ACUUAAAUAGCUUAUAAUUAGAGCAUGAUAUUGAAGAUAUCAGGGAGACUUUUUGUUUUUAAGUAUUUAUAAAUUAGGAAAUUAUUUUUACAUUGAAAAUGUAAUGUUUUUAAUAAACUAUAUAAAUAGAAAUAUAAACAUGGA